UUUUUGCGGAUCUCUUUUUCUUUUUCUUAUCUUCCUCAUAAACUCCCUUCUGAAAAUCUCAGAGAUCCGGUCUCAACUCUCACAAAUCAAAGACUAAUCCUAACCCCAUCUCAAAAUCAAAACCCAUGUAUCAGAUCUAAAAGAAAACCCCUCUAUAUAACCCUGGAUUUAACCAAAAACAAACCAUCAUCUCAUUUCAGCUCACUUGUUUUCUGUAUGAGAAGGAGAUUUAUAGUCUUCAUAUCCAUACAACUCUCAUCACCGAGUCAAGCCUGCCUGAUUUCAGAACUUAGUCCCAACCGCAUCUUUGAUUCAAAACCCAUCUCAUAAUCAAAAUUUUAUAUCCCCUAAUCUUGUAACCAUAUGUUUAGAAAUCAAAUAUAAUCUUCAAUAAUCCAAUUUUUUUAAAACCCUACAUAUCAGAAAUCAAGGGUUUUAUCUCAACAAAACCCCCAUGUAUUUCUUUCCCUACUCGAUCUGUUUGUGGAGUUGUUGAGGAUGAUUGGUGGAGUUGUCGAUAAAGUCAGUGUGGAAGUCGUCGAUGUUACCGGUGGUGGUGCUCUUUUUUUGUUGGAGUUGAUGGCGGAUGUGUUAAUGAUAGAGGUGAACUCCGGUGUUAGUGAUAGAGGUGAAAUCCGUUGAUUUGGUGGUGACGAUGAGCAUAUUUGGUGGUGCUGAAAGUUUUGAUGGGAAGAUUCUCAUAUUGGGAAAAAUAGAGAUACAUUCUGUCUCAAAGCCAGUGGAAGUACCUGUAAUGAUAGACUGAUUCGGCUGAAUCUUCCAACAACACUCAGUCUAAUAAGGAGAAAGAAAUAGAUUGGGGAUCUGUUUUCUAAUACAAUGCGGGAACUUGCAAUUGAUGAUACUUCUACUUUGAAGGAUAAUGUUAUUAUCAUCAGUGUGGUUGGAAUGACAGGUAUUGAGAAGGCUUGAAGAGCGACAAGUUGACUUAGAUCAACUCCUACUGUUUGUCUCCUGAUCCACUCUGCUGCAACCGUCUUAGAAAAACAAUAAUUUAGUGAAAUAUGAUCAGAAAAGUGGGUCUUUCCAG